GAAGUUUUCUCAUAAAGAACAUCUCAUCUACACGGAGAUGAAGUUUGCCGCCGCGUCAAAAUAAGCAAACGCGAAUUGAAAUGCAGUAACUUCCUCCACCAACGGGGGCGCCAAGCUUGCAGCUUACGGAGUCCGCCGCCGGGUCACCGACGCCGAACUCCCCACCGGGCAGUCCCUACAAUCGGUCCCAAUUCUCAGCACAUGUCGUGGCUGACUGCAUUUGCAUCCUUUGCACCUACGGGAUGCCAUUCUGGGGCGCCCGCACGCCCGCACGCCCGCACGCCCGCACGGAAGGUGUUCGAGAAAAUGCAGGCCUGAGAGCGAGAAGGCACUUGGUUUCUGGAUGCGCAAGGAAAACCGUAGGCAUCGCCACAGGUUGAAUUCGCGGGCUAUUGUGACUGCUUUGACCUUCGCUGCGCCCGUGGUGAGCCAACAAGUUCAUAAGCUACUCCGCGCAAGUUCUUAUACGAGGGCAGAAGCCAGGAAGCUCUUUGGUUUCUUGAAUCACCAUCGAGAUAUGAGACUGUAUAGCAUCGCAGAGAAGUUCUGGUAUUGGCCCGCGCAAUUAGAUUGCGCAUUAGCACCGAUCAACUGAAGUCGCAAAGGGGAAAUUUCCAGAGCACUGCUAAGUGCUAACAUGAUGCCGUCAAUCAUCUGAGAAAAAAGAAGGUACUACCGACUGGGGUAGGGCAGCCUGGGUAGGGUGUGUGCUGCUCCAGAGCUUCUAUAGGAAACUAUCGGAAUCCAGUAUGCAGGGUGCUAGACUGGCAUUUUCACUAGUAAAUCUUCUUAUUUUCUAUAUCGACGAUCUCGCCUGUGCGAGUAUGCAAGCCUGUGAAAUCUGCAUGUCAUUUUCAAGGAGAGAGCAACUCAUUGAUCAAAGAGUUCUUGGAUAAUAAUGCAUGGGGCUCAUGGAAGUGCAUUUCUUUCUGCACCACAUGAGAGCUGCUGUGAAGAUGUGUUGAACUAAAUCUGGAGGUGCCGCGUUGAUCGCACACUGCUAGCGGUGACUGAAGCCCGGCAAAGGUCCCUUGGCCUCCUUUCUCAAGGUGCCUAAACUCCGGUGUGCCUCACUUUGGCAUCAUUUUGGCAUCCGGGACCGGGAGAGUCAUGGUUCAAGCUAUCAGAGGGUGGUGGUCGUGGAACAGCUCGGCAGCUUCUUACAGCUUCGCGCAGGCUCCCAGGCACCACAUUGCAAGCUUCAACAAUUGAACUGCUUCCUCUUGGUGUAAGACCAUGUCCUCACUAUGGUUGUCAAUCAAAUCGAUAAACUGAUUAUCUUCAGCCUUUUUCUGUAACAAUUUGAUGAGCUGAACACUCUCCUCGGGAAGAGAUAUGUCAAUAUUUUUUCUUCCGCAAAUUACUUCCAUGACAACAACUCCAAAGCUGUAGACAUCAACUUUUUCAGUGAUUUGGGACGUUAGCCAUUCAGGUGCCAGAUACCCAGAGGCAGAAGUUGAGGGGCUAAGCUGCACCUUGAGGUAAGCAGAGGAGUUGUAGUGAACAAUUUCAGGUUGUAUUGAUUGCAAGGAGAAGACCCUUGUCACCCACAGACACGUUCCAUCGGAAUCAUUCUGGCCAUACCUGAACAUCACGGCCCUGCAGGAGCAGUUCUUCAAGCAAGCUUGCUUACAGUCUUCUCCGUUUGUUGCAUUCACAACGAUGUGGCUGGCGUCAAAAUAAGAAACGUCUGUAAGAGUCAACAACUGAUGGUGUUGCAUUUCCUGACAAGAGAUUGGAGUCAGUGAUGCACAGCCAAGAUUUGGCUUCCGCUCAUCGGCCGGCUUGAAGUAGCUUGAACUAGAAUUAUUCUGAAGCGGACAAACACAUUGCCCCCCUGUGCAUAUACCAUACUCUCCACAUACUGUUGGAAAGGCACAGUCAUCAGGGAAUAGUUUGAUUACAUCAGACACUACAGCCCAUUUUGCAUCUGCAUUAGACCAUUCGUAGAGCCUCAGGUGCCCAUCUGACUCCAAUCUCAUGUACUGGGUAGAGUUAGCUGCUGGUAAUUGGAUACUCGUGUCUGAUUCAUCUGGUUGCUUGGACUGCACAGAGAUGCUGAGGCUGCCAUUCGUGAAGACGUACUUGCUACGAGCCUCAUACCUUCCAGAAGUGACUGCCCAGGGACCAAUGCAUCAGUAGGGUGAGCAAAUGACUGCCACACUGUUGCAUUUUUCUGAUCAAACAACACCAAAUUACCAAUCUCGGUGAUCAUCAUGCCUGUAAGAAAAAGCAGCUCUUGGCUUACGACUUUAGGAGAGAAAAGGAGCAAGAAAACGGGGGCUAGUGCGGGGAUGAGCUUUCAGUGGAGAAAAGAUCUCACCCGGUUAUGCAGAAUCAGUGAAGCAGAUGUGAGCUCCGUGGAAAGUACUACUAGCAGUCAACAAGUCUUCGUCUUGCUAUUUCAGCAUCCCAAGUUCACAACCAUGCCCAUACCACGCGGUGUUUUGGGCGCUUUGUGUUUGACCGUCGCCGAAAGGUGACUUAUUGGCUGCUCCUGCAGGCCCAAGUCAUUGUCAGGUUGGUUGGAUGCUUGUCUCGUGGUUUAGAGCUAUUUUAAAGAAGAAAAUGUGUAGAUGCCACAGAAAUUACUACUAGAGUAUUCUCAGAGUAAUGCAGUCCUCAUGCUACUUUCCUUGUGCACAUCGUGAAAGAUGGGUCACGAUGAUUACUUAGGCAAACUAAUCAAGCAAGCAUGGGUAUAUGCACGGCAACUACUAGGUUGGAUUAGUCCGACUACUUCCAAAUGAUCAUUCGUUGGUUGGUUGGUUGGCUACUUCUGUCGGGCCAGGGCAUUGGCAUGGUAGGUGAAGAUCCGCGCCUGACUGCGUCAACCGGUUGCUUUUCCGUGUGCUCGUACCGUGGUCUUGAGCAUACUGCUUUUCUCCUCUCCUUCCCUGCUAGUAUAUGAAUAGGAAGGACAACACGUGUUGACUCAGCGAACGAAAUUAUGGAAGUGUAUGGUGGGGGCAUCCUCUUGCUACUAUGGUUAGAGCAACUCUAGCAGAGUCUUCAUACUGUGAUCGUCAUAAUAAAUAUAGAGCGUUGUAUGAAUUCCCUUCAAAAUUAAACA